UUCAGUUGAGCAUACGAAUCUUUCGGAGCAGAAUUUUUCGCAAAUACGAACACAAGACGAACAUACUUAAAAUGUGGUUUAAAUUGACUGCAAGUUCAAUUCUCCAAACCUGCAUCUUCGUCGUGAUCGUCGGGAACAUAUGUGGUGAACGUUGUCCACACACUGAAAUAAUGUACAGUGCUGGUGGCAAGACAUCGAAUUUGAGGGUGUGUGGAGAUGGGAAGUAUGAUGGCUAUUUUUGUUGUGGAAAAGGCCCGUGCAACCUUUUUUGUCAUAACUGUGACGGUGGUUGUAUCCAGGGCGAUGCCUUGGCAAAUUUCAAAAAACUGAUGGAAGGACUUAUUACGAAUGCUGUUGUACUUAGAGUACUCUAAAAUUAUUGCCCAAAAAUCGUUGUAUUACGCUUUUUUCAAGCAACAUGAGUGUUCUUUCAAAUUAUAUCGUUUAUAAAAAAUAAAGUCAACUUUUUGUGUGUGUUCGCUAA